GGGUGCUAACGUCCGUCGUGAAGAGGGAAACAACCCAGACCGCCAGCUAAGGUCCCAAAGUCAUGGUUAAGUGGGAAACGAUGUGGGAAGGCCCAGACAGCCAGGAUGUUGGCUUAGAAGCAGCCAUCAUUUAAAGAAAGCGUAAUAGCUCACUGGUCGAGUCGGCCUGCGCGGAAGAUGUAACGGGGCUAAACCAUGCACCGAAGCUGCGGCAGCGACACUGUGUGUUGUUGGGUAGGGGAGCGUUCUGUAAGCCUGUGAAGGUGUACUGUGAGGUAUGCUGGAGGUAUCAGAAGUGCGAAUGCUGACAUAAGUAACGAUAAAGCGGGUGAAAAGCCCGCUCGCCGGAAGACCAAGGGUUCCUGUCCAACGUUAAUCGGGGCAGGGUGAGUCGACCCCUAAGGCGAGGCCGAAAGGCGUAGUCGAUGGGAAACAGGUUAAUAUUCCUGUACUUGGUGUUACUGCGAAGGGGGGACGGAGAAGGCUAUGUUGGCCGGGCGACGGUUGUCCCGGUUUAAGCGUGUAGGCUGGUUUUCCAGGCAAAUCCGGAAAAUCAAGGCUGAGGCGUGAUGACGAGGCACUACGGUGCUGAAGCAACAAAUGCCCUGCUUCCAGGAAAAGCCUCUAAGCAUCAGGUAACAUCAAAUCGUACCCCAAACCGACACAGGUGGUCAGGUAGAGAAUACCAAGGCGCUUGAGAGAACUCGGGUGAAGGAACUAGGCAAAAUGGUGCCGUAACUUCGGGAGAAGGCACGCUGAUAUGUAGGUGAAGUCCCUCGCGGAUGGAGCUGAAAUCAGUCGAAGAUACCAGCUGGCUGCAACUGUUUAUUAAAAACACAGCACUGUGCAAACACGAAAGUGGACGUAUACGGUGUGACGCCUGCCCGGUGCCGGAAGGUUAAUUGAUGGGGUCAGCGCAAGCGAAGCUCUUGAUCGAAGCCCCGGUAAACGGCGGCCGUAACUAUAACGGUCCUAAGGUAGCGAAAUUCCUUGUCGGGUAAGUUCCGACCUGCACGAAUGGCGUAAUGAUGGCCAGGCUGUCUCCACCCGAGACUCAGUGAAAUUGAACUCGCUGUGAAGAUGCAGUGUACCCGCGGCAAGACGGAAAGACCCCGUGAACCUUUACUAUAGCUUGACACUGAACAUUGAGCCUUGAUGUGUAGGAUAGGUGGGAGGCUUUGAAGUGUGGACGCCAGUCUGCAUGGAGCCGACCUUGAAAUACCACCCUUUAAUGUUUGAUGUUCUAACGUGGACCCGUGAUCCGGGUUGCGGACAGUGUCUGGUGGGUAGUUUGACUGGGGCGGUCUCCUCCUAAAGAGUAACGGAGGAGCACGAAGGUUGGCUAAUCCUGGUCGGACAUCAGGAGGUUAGUGCAAUGGCAUAAGCCAGCUUGACUGCGAGCGUGACGGCGCGAGCAGGUGCGAAAGCAGGUCAUAGUGAUCCGGUGGUUCUGAAUGGAAGGGCCAUCGCUCAACGGAUAAAAGGUACUCCGGGGAUAACAGGCUGAUACCGCCCAAGAGUUCAUAUCGACGGCGGUGUUUGGCACCUCGAUGUCGGCUCAUCACAUCCUGGGGCUGAAGUAGGUCCCAAGGGUAUGGCUGUUCGCCAUUUAAAGUGGUACGCGAGCUGGGUUUAGAACGUCGUGAGACAGUUCGGUCCCUAUCUGCCGUGGGCGCUGGAGAACUGAGGGGGGCUGCUCCUAGUACGAGAGGACCGGAGUGGACGCAUCACUGGUGUUCGGGUUGUCAUGCCAAUGGCACUGCCCGGUAGCUAAAUGCGGAAGAGAUAAGUGCUGAAAGCAUCUAAGCACGAAACUUGCCCCGAGAUGAGUUCUCCCUGACCCUUUAAGGGUCCUGAAGGAACGUUGAAGACGACGACGUUGAUAGGCCGGGUGUGUAAGCGCAGCGAUGCGUUGAGCUAACCGGUACUAAUGAACCGUGAGGCUUAACCUUACAACGCCGAAGGUGUUU
rnacentral:rRNA from 1 species